AAGGAUUGGGAAAUUGCCUGGCACAUACAGCAUUCUUCAUAACUGCCUCAAACUGGAGAUAAAUGCAAAUGUCCUUCCGCUGGUAAAUGGGUAAACAAACGGCGGCGUUCUCGUACAAGGGAGAACUACUCAGCAAUGAAAAGGAACGAACCACUCAUCUAUGCAGGAACGUGGAUGAGUCUCAAAGUCAUGAUGCUGAGUAAAAGAAGGCAGACUCAAAAGGCUACGUGAUGCAUGAUUCCAUAUAGACGACAUUCUGGAAAAGACAAAGCCGUGAGGAAACCCUGGCACAGGGUGGUGGUCUUGCCCAAGACAACAUAGCCAGUAGGUGGCAGAGCUGUGUGAUGGCCUGGACCCACUAACGACCGGGAGAUGCUGCCCCCAGCACCGACUGGAGCCAGACUUGGAAUCAGACCAGCCUCGGUUGGAAUC
rnacentral:lncRNA from 1 species